rnacentral:rRNA from 1 species
CCUACGGGUGGCAGCAGUGGGGAAUAUUGGACAAUGGGGGGAACCCUGAUCCAGCGACGCCGCGGGAGUGAAGAAGUAUUUCGGUAUGUAAAGCUCUAUCAGCAGGGAAGAAAAUGACGGUACCUGAAUAAGAAGCCCCGGCUAACUACGUGCCAGCAGCCGCGGGAAUACGUAGGGGGCAAGCGUUAUCCGGGUUUAAUGGGUGGAAAGGGAGCGUAGACGGUGCAGCAAGUCUGAUGUGAAAGGUCGGGGCCCAACCCCGGGACUGCAUUGGACACUGUUGAACUGGAGUACAGGAGAGGUAAGCGGAAUUCCUAGUGUAGCGGUGAAAUGCGUAGAUAUUAGGAGGAACACCAGUGGCGAAGGCGGCUUACUGGACUGUAACUGACGUUGAGGCUCGAAAGCGUGGGGAGCAAACAGGAUUAGAUACCCGGGUAGUC